rnacentral:rRNA from 1 species
AUUGAACGCUGGCGGCAUGCUUUACACAUGCAAGUCGGACGGCAGCAUAAAAGAGCUUGCUCUUUUGAUGGCGAGUGGCGAACGGGUGAGUAAUGCAUCGGAACGUACCGAGUAGUGGGGGAUAACUGUCCGAAAGGAUGGCUAAUACCGCAUAUUCUCUGAGGAGGAAAGCAGGGGACCUUAGGGCCUUGCGCUAUUUGAGCGGCCGAUGUCUGAUUAGCUAGUUGGUGGGGUAAGAGCCCACCAAGGCGACGAUCAGUAGCGGGUCUGAGAGGAUGAUCCGCCACACUGGGACUGAGACACGGCCCAGACUCCUACGGGAGGCAGCAGUGGGGAAUUUUGGACAAUGGGCGCAAGCCUGAUCCAGCCAUGCCGCGUGUAUGAAGAAGGCCUUCGGGUUGUAAAGUACUUUUGUCAGGGAAGAAAAGCCUGAGGAUAACACCCUCAGGUCAUGACGGUACCUGAAGAAUAAGCACCGACUAACUACGUGCCAGCAGCCGCGGUAAUACGUAGGGUGCGAGCGUUAAUCGGAAUUACUGGGCGUAAAGCGAGCGCAGACGGUUAUUUAAGCAAGAUGUGAAAGCCCCGGGCUCAACCUGGGAACUGCGUUUUGAACUGGGUAACUAGAGUGUGUCAGAGGGGGGUAGAAUUCCACGUGUAGCAGUGAAAUGCGUAGAGAUGUGGAGGAAUACCGAUGGCGAAGGCAGCCCCCUGGGAUAACACUGACGUUCAUGCUCGAAAGCGUGGGUAGCAAACAGG